UUUGCCCUAUAUAAAUUCAAACCCCCAUGCAACAAAACCAUUCACUGAAAGGCACAGUCCCAACUCAUUCCAUUCUCUAUUUCAAUUCCACAAUGAGGCAUCCCAUUCUGUUAAUUGGCCUUCAAAUAGUAGCAUAUUUUAAUGGUUUUCAAGCUACAAGUGACUUCUCAAAAUUAUGGGAAGAGCAUAUUGGUCUUCCACACCCUCCACAUUGGUUAGCCGCAAAGGUUUCUCCAUUAAGCCUCCAUCAAGCAACAAUGUAUAUGAAACUUAUGGAUAAAAACGAAUUGUCUUCCAACCUACAUUCAUUCUGUAAGGAAGCUAAUAUUGUUUGUUCUACAAAUUUAUUACUGAAGAAGACAAUGGAUACCAAAUCCCUACCACCAAUAGCCAUGUGGAAUCAUGUCAAGUAGAAAUAGGAUGAAGUUCCAAAUGAAACACCCCUAUCUAUUGCCAGCCAAGGGGGAUUGCCAUAUUUUCGAGAGUCAAUGGUGAGAGAGGGAAGUUUCAUGCCUAUCCCUGAUUUAAGGGACCCAAUGUCUUAUAAAUCAUUCUUGCCACAAACUUUGGAAUCAAAAAUCCCAUUUUCCUUUGCCAAGAUUAGGGAAUUGAAGAAGCUUUUUGAUGUGGUGGAUGAAUCAAACAUAGAUGAGUAUAUUCAGGAAAGCCUCAAGAUAUGUGAGGAAAGACCAGUUCAAGGUGAGCAAAGAACAUGUGUGACUUCUGUUGAGGAUCUCAUCGAUUUUGUUGUUCAGACAUUAAGGCACCAUAUAUGUGUAUGGAGUACCGAGAGUGUCGAAGGAUCUUAUGAGAAUGUUACAAUUGGACCUAUGAAACUAAUCCAUGGAAACCUCUCUGAACCACCAGUCUUAUGUCAUAGUAUGCCAUUUCUAUUUCAAGUCUAUUAUUGCCAUGUUUUGCCAAAUUUAAAAAUGUAUGCAGUUGAUAUACAUGCUCAGAAGAAAGUGAAUCAUGUGAUCAUGGCAUGUCACUAUGACACAUCAACUUGGAAUCCAAACAAUCUUGCUUUUAAGCUAUUGGGUUUUGGUCCAGGAUUAAUUGAAGUAUGUCAUUGGAUAAAUGAGAAUGGAUUGGUUUGGACAAAGACCCUGGGUUGAACAACAUUUGAAGAUUUGAUUAUCUUAUAGUUUUCUUGUUUGUGUUACAUGUUACUGCUAAUGUUAUUUGAAGAAUAAAUAAUGACCUAUUAUCACUUGCUUGUUA